UUUCAUAGUCACCAGAACUUGAGAUAAUUAAACAUUUCAAUAUGUUGCUACUCUUGCAAACUCUCGUAAUUAUUUACUUAAUUUCAGAAAUCCCUAAGACAGAUUCAAAACCGAAGCGGAAUGAAAACAGACUUAAAGAAAUCUCUAAGGCCAAUUUAAAACCUAAGCGGAAUGAACACAAACUUAAAGGU